ensembl:lncRNA
AAAUAAAAUACAUGGGAUUACAAAGGAAACCAGCUCUAUUGAAAUCGGUAGCAAUGUAUGUUUUUUGCUUUUCUUUCUCUUUUUUGGUGAGGCAGUCAGGGUUAAGUGACUUGCCUGAGGUCACACAGCUAGUACCAUGUGUCUGAUGCCAGAUUUUUGAACUUUUGAACCGGUGCUCUAUCCACUGCACCACCUAGCUGCCCCUAGCUAUAUAUUUUUUAAAAAGCUCAUUGGACCCCAGGUUAAAGACCCAUGGACUAGAGAACUCUAAAAUAUCUCUGAUACUCCUUGUUCUAAGGAAGUUUGCUCUGGCUGAGCUAGAGAUGCCUCUGUUUCCCCCCCCCCCCCCCCCCCCCCCCCACCCCCCUAGAAUGUCAUCUGGAUCCUGGUUCUACUUCCUCCCUCCCCACAGGUGGACAUCGCAUCUGGAAUGGCCAUUGAAGGAAUGUGUUAUGCCCAGAACAUCCCAACCCGGGACAGGCUGGAGGGCAUGGCAGCCUUCCGGGAGAAGCGGCCACCCCGCUUUGUUGGCGAGUGACUCUGAUGGUGUUGUUGUGGGGGAGGGGGCUGUCCCCCUCCCUGCAGCUUUGGCUCCCGCAGGCAGGAGCACCUACUACAAGUCAGGUCUUAGAAGCACGUCCUCUGUUCUUCCAUAAAGUCCUUCACCUUGGUCAGUAACUACUGUGAUUUCUGUUUCCUCUGUGUCAUGGCCUUGCUGCUCUGGCACUGGGGCCCGUUGGCCUUCUGCCAUCCCAGACACACAGGGUGCAUCCAUCAGGAUCUCUCAUCCACCACACCCCUCAGGCUACAUGUCUUACAGGUGUGGAAAGACCUCAGGAGGCAGGAGAGACUCGGGGGCCCCUCUCCAGGUUUCAUUCUCUCUCUCCAUAAAGCAGGGGAUUAAACUAAGGUUCAGUCUAACAAUUGAGCUAACGAUAAUAACUGGCAUUUAUAUGGGACUUCUAUGAUAUGAGCUCAUGAUCCUCACAACAGUCCUGGGAGAUGCUACUAUUAUCCCCACUUUACCGAUGAAGAAACUGAGGCCCAGAGAGAUUAAGGAACUUGCUAACAAGUGUCUGAAGUAGGAUUCAAACACUGUGGCCUACAACCUAGCUGUCUUCUACUGACAGAUAGACAGACACCUACAAGGCUGGGGACUUAGGGCUGACAUUUUCUGGCCCAGACCCGGGCUCUCUCCUCCUGUACCGGGGGCAGCUUUCUCAGCUUUCCUGGCCAUGACCUACAAAAGCCACCUCCAUGCUCUUGGCCACGGGUCCCAGAAAUGACCUGACAGUAUGCUCUUCAUGGUGCUUCCACCCCCAUCCCCUAGCUGGCAUGGUUGCCUGACCACCCUGGGCACCCAGAAAAUAUGAAAACUGGGCCGUAUGGGCAGUGCCCGCCUUGUGGAUAGUGCCUGGAGUCCAGGGGGGCCUUGUAGACCAACUAGCACAACACUCAUUCUGGGAGCCCCAAGGGGGUGAACAACAGAACGGCAGAGGCAGCAUCAGGCGUCCCUUCCUGCCCUCCCAGGUCUCAUGGGAGCCCCAUAAACAACUCUGUGAGGCAGAUGCCACAGGAACUGUUAACUGACACUGGGUGUCACUGGGACCCCACUGGGACCACUGCCGAAGCUGCUGGGGGGCCUGCCUCCCUCAUCUCUCCCCAGCCCCAUCCAGUCCAUCCAUCUCCCUCAGCUAUCAUGAUGAUCUUCCAAAGCACAGUCUGUCUGAACGUGUCGUUUCUCCUCCAGCCUCCCUUCCCAACCUGACCUCUCCCGCCAUCCCAGACUUCGCACGCCGUACUGCCCUCCAUGCACGCUAUCAUCCUGCUGUUUCUCAGAGACAAUGCUCAGUGCCCGGCUUCUGCCAGUGCCUCUGCCUGUGCUGUCCGCCACGUCUAGAACACUCCCUCCUUGUCUCCAAGUUCUGGCUUCCUUCCAGUCCCAGCUAAAGUCCAUUCUCAGGCCUGCUCAGACUUCGUGUCUUUCCUCUGAGAUUCUCCAGUUUACCCGGUCCAGAGCUGGUUUGUAUCUAGGUGUUUGCAUCUUGUUUCCCCUUCCCCAGGAGAAUCUGUGAGCUGCUAGAGGGCAGACACCAGUGUUAUUGCCUUUCUUUGUAUCCCCAGGGCUUAGCACAAUGCCUGACACAUAGUAGGCACUUCACAAAUGCUCAUAGACUCCAUUAAACCAAACCAAAAGACAAAAAAAGACACAGCUAAAUUAGCUAAAUUAGCUAAAUUAAAUUAGCUAAAGCGAAGCGUGGCAGUCAAGUUGUCUGUGGAGAAGAGUAAGAAGACAGCAAAGAUCUAGGCUCCUUUCUCCCUUGGCCCUGUGGACCAGGUCCCUGGAAUUCUAUGACCUCAUAGACUACUUGGCCACUCCUAGAUCCCUCCCAUAGGCUUGCUGUAUGUAAGGUCCAUCUUGUCUCCAUUAAGGUGCUUAGAUUCUUAUAAUCCAGCCAAUGGCUCACUAACAUUCAGACUUCUUAAGAGUCUGCCCAAUAUGAACGAUGUCUCAGUUUGGAAACUGGAAAUAUUAAAGUCAACAUGUCCAGAAUAAUAGUAGCUAACAUAUGUAGAACGUGUAUAUGUGUGUGUGUGUGUCUAAGCACUUUCCAAAUACUAUCUCACUAGAGUCUCACAACAACCCUGACAGGUAGGUACUAUUAUUAUCCUUAUUUUACAGCUGAGGAAACUGAGGCAGACAAAGGUUAAGUGACUUGCCCAAGGUCACCCAGCUAGGAAGUAUCUGAGUCCAAAUUUUACCUUCUUGACUCCAGGCCCUGUGCUCUAUCCACCUCAUCACAUAGCUGCCUAAAACUGAACUCAUUCUUGCCCUCCAAAAUGCUCUCUUCUGAACUGAAUUAUUCUUGAGGGUGCUGUCAUCCUCCUAGUCACCCAGGCUCACAACCCGUCACUCUGAUGCCUUACUUGCAUUUACACUCUGUUAACACAUCCAGUCUGUUGCCAAAUCCUGGCAUUCCAACUUCCUCUCUUGUAUACAUACCCCCAUCUCUCUCUGACACUGUCACUGCCCCCACCCCAUCACCUCAAGCCUGGCCUAGUGUGAUUACUGCUGGGGGUGGGGGGUGCCCGUCUGCGGUGUCUCCCCACUCCAAUCCAUCCACUUAGCUGCCAAACUUCACCUCCAAGGGCCCCUUACGAUCUCUCGAAUCAAACAGGAAGUUGUGUUUGGCUGGUAAAGCCCUCCAUAGCUUGGUCUCCCCAAAUCCGGUUAUGUGGGCCUUCUUAUUCCUCCUCCAUCACGUGGCUCCACCUGGCAUCCUCUGGGCUUUUGUCCCUGGCUGUCCCUCCCACACACCAGGAAAGCUUCCCGCCUCCCUUCACAGCUCAGCUCGGGUACCACCUUCGGCAGGUCUUUCCCAGGCUCUCUUCUUCCAAUCCAAUACUUUCUCUUCAGAGAUUACCUUCCAUUUAUGCUGUACAUAUCUUCUAAAAAAAUUACUUUUUACAUUACCAUGAUUACCCCCAGUAUCCCUCCCCUCUCUUCCUCCUAGAGAAUCAUCCCAUGUAAUAGUUUUGUUUUUUUUUAAAAGGGAAAAAAAUAAGCACAUCAGACCAGUACAUGAAAAUACAUGCUCCAAACUCAGACACUAGCUGUGUGACCCUGGGCAAGUCACUUAACCCCCAUCCCCUGUGUAGCAUGCCAAAUGUGGGGGCCUCCCACCUCUGUAGAAAAUGGGAGAGGGACAUCUCAUUUCUUUUUCCGUGAUUCUCCAACAUUCACUUUUGGUCGUUUGUUCUCUCCAUGUAGCGUUGUAGUCAUUGUGGACAGCUUUUUUGGUUCUGCUAACUUAGCUGCCUCAGUUUAUGUAGAUCUGUCCACAUUUCUCAGUAACUAUCACAUUCAACAUUUCUUAAAGUCUGGUAAAAUUGACAAUUAAAUGAGUCCAAAUCCAGCCUGACACCCUGAGCAAGUCACUCUGAACCUCUGACUCAGUUUCCCUAAAUGGAAAAUAAUUUUGUCUACAGCAACCCUGUGAGGAUCACGUAGGAUCUUUGUGAACCACAGUGCUUUGCACAUAGUAGGCACUUAAUAAAUGUUUGUUCUUUUCCCA